rnacentral:rRNA from 1 species
GAGUUUGAUCGUGGCUCAGAUUGAACGCUGGCGGCAUGCCUUACACAUGCAAGUCGAACGGCAGCACGGGAGCUUGCUCCUGGUGGCGAGUGGCGAACGGGUGAGUAAUGCAUCGGAACGUAUCCUGGAGUGGGGGAUAACGUAGCGAAAGUUACGCUAAUACCGCAUAUUCUGUGAGCAGGAAAGCGGGGGACCUUCGGGCCUCGCGCUCUUGGAGCGGCCGAUGUCGGAUUAGCUAGUUGGUGAGGUAAAGGCUCACCAAGGCGACGAUCCGUAGCAGGUCUGAGAGGAUGAUCUGCCACACUGGAACUGAGACACGGUCCAGACUCCUACGGGAGGCAGCAGUGGGAAUUUUGGACAAUGAGGGCAACCCUGAUCCAGCCAUGCCGCGUGAGUGAAGAAGGCCUCGG